CCUACGGGGCGCAGCAGUGAGGAAUAUUGGUCAAUGGCCGAAGGGCUGAACCAGCCAAGCCGCGUGAAGGAAUAAGGCCCUACGGGUCGUAAACUUCUUUAGUCAGGGAACAAAGGGUGCCACGCGUGGCGCUGUGAGUGUACCUGAAGAAUAAGCAUCGGCUAACUCCGUGCCAGCAGCCGCGGUAAUACGGAGGAUGCGAGCGUUAUCCGGAUUUAUUGGGUUUAAAGGGUGCGUAGGCGGUUUGUCAAGUCAGCGGUAAAAAUUCCGGGCUCAACCCGGUCCCGCCGUUGAAACUGGCGAAC
rnacentral:rRNA from 1 species